rnacentral:rRNA from 1 species
AGGACGAACGCUUGCGGCGUGCCUAAGAAAUGCAAGUCGAGCGGGAGUAGCAAUACUCUAGCGGCGAACGGUCGCGUAACACGUAGCCAACCUGCCCAGAAGACCGGGACAACACUCCGAAAGGGGUGCUAAUACCGGAUGUGCCCAUUUUGCCACAUGGCUUAAUGAGUAAAUCAUUUAUGGCUUCUGGAGGGGGCUGCGGCCUAUCAGCUAGAUGGUGGGGUAACGGCCUACCAUGGCGUCGACGGGUAGCUGGUCUGAGAGGAUGGUCAGCCGGACUGGGACUGAGAUACGGCCCAGACUCCUACGGGGGGCAGCAAUUAGGAAUCUUGCGCAAUGGGGGCAACCCUGACGCAGCGACGCCGCGUGGAGGAUGACGGCCUUCGGGUUGUAACUCCUUUUAUCGGGGAAGAAACAAAUGACGGUACCCGAUGAAUAAGCCCGGCUAACUCCGCGCCAGCAGCCGC